GUCUUUUCUGGCAGAUUACUUCUGUGAGCAACUGGGUCUCUCAGUUCUUUGGGAGCACCCUGGGAAACAGUGUGGCUAUGACUUGGAGCUGCUCACCAGUUCCAGUCAUUCUGUGGUUGAGAGCUGCUCCCUAUGGAUGUUAAUUCUUCUCUAUUUUAGAUUUUCCACAGGUGUGGGCCCCAUUAGCUCUGGCCACCUGAGAAAGCCCUCAGGCAAAGAGUCGCAGGUGAAAGCCAGCAGUUAGAGGUUCACAGAAAUGAGUGCAGAAGCAUCUUCAGUUGGAGAGCCAUUGCCUCUUGCUGUGAAAUAUUUGGGAAUCUUCAGAAACCAUGAAGAAUAACCUGCUAAAGGCCACCAAGUUCUAUUGAACAUCAUGAAUCCUAUGCUCAAGUGAGAUCAGCUCAAGUGAGACCAGAUAUCUGAAGACCUUUUCAUUUUCGCCACCCUCAAAUGAAGGCAUGCAAGUCCUGUUUGUCUCUGCCACUCCUCUAGCUGAUAUGUGCUCCAGAUUUGAAAAUUAAUUUAAGAAGCCAAAUUGUUUCCUGCUUUUCAAAGUUAUACAUAUCGUUACAUAUGUUUAUAUUUAUGUGUACACACAAAUGUAAAGCAAUGAUGCCUCUAUUAAAAUGAUGUUCAGUUAA
rnacentral:lncRNA from 1 species